GGAAACUGUGGAGUGGGUCUUAAGAGGCAAACAGAAGACAUCUGGCAAGAUCAUCUUAAGUUCCUUCCCUCUCAUAUGAUUAAAAUAAUUAAGUGGCAGAUUGGCAGGGUCUAAAUUCUGUGUUUAUAUAAAAAGAUAUGGGGAGAUUAUACAGUCUGUUGCUGUUGCUCUCAAAACAUGGCUAAUUAUAGGGUUUUCAAAAAUUAUCUACUUUUCUUACUCUUUUAAAUAGGCAAUGUAUCUAGGUUACAAAAUCUGAAAGAUGCAAAUGAGAUGACAAUGAAAAUUAAGUCUCCCGUCCUCCUCUCUCUGUGCCCAUUUUCCCCUCGUUAAAACAUUGUACCUAGUUUCUUUUGUAUCCAUUCAGAGAUGUUCUAUGCAAUUGCACUCAAGCUCUCACCGGGUUAGACACCUGCAUCCCCUUCACCUUCUGCUAUGAUUGCAAAGCUUCCUGAGGCCCUCACCAGAAGGUGAUGCUGGCACCACACUUCUUGUAUUGUCUGCAGAACUAAACUGCAGUUAAUUUUGCACGAACCUAAUAGCUAUUUGUGGAGCACCAAUGCUUUAUUCUGUGGAAACAUCUUCUCCAUGAGGGGCCUGGCAAAUGGACAAAUGGAUUCCGAUAUCUGCCUCUGAAUUCAGUCCGCUGCAAUAUAUUGUUUUGAAUCCAGGAUCACUCAGAUGUGCAGUUGAAAAGACUCUUUCUCUUCAAACUUCUUUAACAUGUCCUGGCUUAGCUGUUCUCCUUGAUUUUCCAAAAGAAGAAUCUUCUCUAGUUUAAAAGAAUGUUGCAAUACCAGCAAAAGAAAAAUAACUGCCUAAGAACUCUGAAGAGAAAUAAGAGUUGACCGAAAAUGGAAAAGUAUUAACGUCUUCAGCAGUAACCCAAAAAUAUAUAGCUAAAAUAGAAAUAUUUGAAAAGAGGAAAACCUGAAGGUCAACAAUAUAAAUGAACAGCAAAAUGUACUCAAAGAAAACAAAAGAAGAAAAAUAAUAAAGAUCUCAACUGAGAGUCUCCCAUUGUCAGAUUUUGACCUAGGACCAUCUCAGAAAGGGAUUCUUCUAUGAUUCAGAGGAGAAGUCCCCAGGUAUGAAGAGUCACAGCUCCAGCUUCCUUCUGCUCCCCGGUGUGCAAGAGUCUCAUCCCUGGGAAACAUUUAUGGAACAGUCUGAAAACUGCUAGAGUGCAGAACUAUCCCAUGGCAAUGGUAUUCCCUGGAUCUGCCACUGAAACACUCCUUGUCCUCUAGAUUUUCCAGGGAAGUUUUUGCAGUAAAGAAGGAAUGAAGGAAGAGGCAUGGAUGAAGAGUAAGAGAGAAUUGAAUUAUUUUGAAGGACACUCGUGACCAAAAAAAGGCAAGUUCAGACAGGCCUGCUCAUAUCAUUUAGACCAAGUACUAUCAUAUUGUCAUCACUUAAUAAAAGUUGGAUGAAUGAAUGGAUGGAUGGGAUACAUUUACCUGAUUAGAAAUAUAUCUAAAGCCAAGAAAGAGAAAAAGAAUAAUCAAUAAUACCACAAAGUUUUCUCAGUAUUAUUAAGAAUAUGAUUUAUUUUACUUCUAUAGUGACUUUUAACAUCUAUCAAGUCUACUAACAGAUUUUACAUUUUAAAUAGUCUCAAACAUUUUUAGAAGACAAGAACACAACUGUAAACUGCAUCUGAUUACAGGAACUCAUAUAUCCAGGGGAAUUACAGUAUUAUUUCCCACCCUAAAUUAUUUAUAAUUGCUGCCACUUAUUGAGCAUUUACUAUAUGCCAAGCCAUCUGCAAACCAUAUUAAGUUUAAUUCAUUUUAUUUAGUCAACUCUCUUGAAGACUUGAAUUGAAUUUUAAUGGCAAUAUCUAAGACAUGACAUUUUAAAGCUGUCAUAUGACCCUAUGAAUUACGUAGCAUAUUUGUUUUCCACGUUUCCUCAAAAUAUACGUAAAUGUGCAAAUAUAUUAAUAAGAAUAAUCACUAGCCCAACUUAAGAAGCUAUGAGUGAUUAAACAGUCCUGAUUUAAAAAAAAUAAAUAAAACAAAACAACAAACAAACAAAAAAACAAAGUUUUCUUUAAAACCAAAUUCAUGUUAAGUCAGUGGUGUCGGUAGUUAAAAUGAAAUUUUUAAUAGAAUAGUAUAGUUACAGUUAUGGAACUUCUUAAAAGGAAUCAAAAUUUCAUAUAACUGGCUCGGAAAUAACCUGUAAAUGAAAGGAGAAAGGAAGUAUACAGAAAACAAGAAUGUAUAACAGUGUUUAUUGUUCUUAUUUUUCCCUUAAUAUUUGUAUUCUACAAUGAUAUACAUGUAAAACAGUUGAAAAAGUGACCAAAAUUGUAAGAAAAGAAAUCUAAAAGAAUACUCUAUGUACUUUCUAUGAUGAUUGUAAAAGUAUUUUGGUUGUAGAAGUAAAAUUUAAUGUGAAAUUUAUUGAUGGAGACAGUUUGAAAAUGUUCAUGAGUGUGACUUUAAGGUGUUGAAAGGAAGAUAAAUGACAAAAAUUUAUAGAUUCCAAUUUUUCUUAUUUCUAGAUAGUUCAUUUUUCAAUACGUAUGGUAAUAAUUGUUGUAUUAGUCUGUUUCACACUGCUGAUUAAGACAUACCCAGGACUGGGUAAAUUACAAAGAAAAAUAGGUUUAUUGGACUUACAGUUCCACACGGCUGGAGAGGCCACAACAUCACGGGAGAAGGUAAGGAGGAAUAAGUCACACUUAUGUGGAUGGCAGCAGGCAAAGAGAGAACAUGUGAACAGAA